rnacentral:misc_RNA from 1 species
GUGAAUCAUCGAAUCUUUGAACGCAAAUUGCGCUUCCUGGCAUCCCGGGAAGUAUGCCUGUUUGGGGGUCAGUAUUAAUAAAAAAUCGGUUUAGUUACAAAUUGUGACGUUUCCGGAGUUGGGCCUACUUAACAUUUUUGGGUAAGAGGGCUAAAAUUGACCUUUUUUGCGCAUUUUUUAAAGUACAUAAAUUUUUUUUUUUUUGUCUUUUUUAAUUCCAAAACUUUUUUAAGUUGCGUCCA